ACCUUUGUAGCUUAAUAGGGAGAGCAUUUACCUUGUAAGUAAGGGGUUGUAGGUUCAAAUCCUGCCGGAGGUA
rnacentral:tRNA from 1 species